AGUGAACGCUGGCGGUAGGCCUAACACAUGCAAGUCGAACGGCAGCACAGUAAGAUCUUGGGCUUACGGGGUGCGAGUGGCGGACGGGAGAGGAAUACAUCGUAAUCUACUUUUUCGUGUGGGAUAAGGUAGGGGAAGUUACUCUAAUACCGCAUACGACCUAGGGGGGAGAGGAGGGGAUCUUCUGGCCGGGUGGGGUUGAAUUAGCGGCUGUCGGAUUAGUUAGUUGGCGGGUGAAUGGCCCACCAAGGCGAGGAUCCGUGGCUGGUCGGAGAGGAUGGUCAGCGACACUGGAACUGAGACACGGUCCAGACUACUAAGGGAGGCACCAGUGGGGAAUAUUGGACAAAGGGCGCAAGUCUGAUACAGCCAUACCGCGUGGGUGAAGAAGGCCUUCGGGUUGUAAAGACCUUUUGUUGGGAAAGAAAAGCAGCAGGUUAAUACCCCGCUGUUCUGACGGUAACCAAAGAAUAAGCACCGGCUAACUUCGUG
rnacentral:rRNA from 1 species